AGUUUUACUUAUUUAUUUACUGAUUAAGCUUAAUGGGUGCAGGUCCAGUCCAAUAAUUCCCAAGUCAUCCACUGUGGUUUAAUUUCUCCCGCAUCCAAUUGAGUUCAACCUCUCAAGAUUAGUUUCAUCCUCUCCACAGUGCACUAUUUGAACCCAUACCACGACCGUAGGUUGGCAAUCAUCCCAUUUGUGAUCAGCCACUCAAAACCCCACACCAAGCUGUCAACCAAACCCCAGAUUGCUUCCCAGCGUCCACGAUUCAUAGAAAUCUCCCAGCGCAUCAAAUCCCCUGCCCACGGAUCCAUCCAGCCUUCAUCUUGUUCGGAUUUCCUCCUCUUCAACCCGGGAUAAACUCAAGUCCCAAGCUUUCUUCUGUUCGGAUUGACUCGA
rnacentral:lncRNA from 1 species